UUGUUGUGGCAUUCUACAUAAUGUUAAACGCCCCAUAGUUGUUUGAAUGUUAAAUGACGAGACAGAGGCAUUGAUACGAGUAACCAGUCUUGUUCAGUACAUUACAAUACAUCCGGGUAUCUCAAGCACACCGGUAAAAACACUGGAGUUGCAGUAAUUAACAUUUACCAACAGAUGGCAUCAUUGUGCCAUCUUACACCCAUAACAUGUUCCCUUUUAUAAAAUAGGACAGAAGCUGUCAAUUCACUAACAAAACAAACCAUGUAAUAAUUUCCAACAUGAACAGUUUUGUUUUUUUGGGUUUUUUAAUUCAGGUAACAACACAUUUUGAUACUCUCUUCACUUUUAUCUCUGUCAACAAUCCCUAAUGGGAAACCUACAGAUUAAGUAUUUUUGGUGGCUGGGACAGACACCCACAGCGUGAAAAGACAGGGGGCUUGUCUGCGAGGACUGCGGGUUCCCGCACAGGCGUGUCACCUGACUGUCUAAGGGGAGUAUUGAUGGGCGAGGGAGCGGCCGACCUGUGAUCCCCUGGCUCUUUGCCCAGAGCAUCAGGCCCCAUGUGACUUGCUGGGGUUCUGUCUUUUGUCAUGCGACCCCUUUGACCUUCAGGGUUCUGAGUAGGUGCUGGCUCAGCAAUCCGAAGGUCAACCCUGUUACGAUGGUUCAGUGAUCCAUUCACUUCGACCAAGUAGGAGCGUGGUGCCACUUUCUGUACACAGGAUCCGAGUCUCCAGAGGCCCGUUCGGUCCCCUGGUAGUGGCUUCAUCCGCACCGUUUCACCCACCCUGAGCUCAGGACUUUUAUGGAUCCAGGUGUAACUGUCACAGCUGCAACCUAACUAUUUAACAUGACUGAUCUUGAAGCAACGCUGCCACCGCUGCUGAUUCCUUGUCUCUACCAGAGAGCUACCUGGCUGACGACAGUGGAGCUGCAGGCUGCUGACCUCACCAGGCGUUGUUCCCACACCUCAGCUGAGCAGAGAAGAUCCAAAUCCAAUACCCACAAACCCACGCUCUCUAUUCCUCUCUAUCCCAUACUUCUUUAUUAGCGCCGCUGCUGAUUCCUUGCCUUCCUACCAGAGAGCUACCUGGCUGACUACAGUGGAGCGGCAGGCCGCUGACAUCACCAGGCGAUGUUCCCACACCUCAGCUGAGCAUAGGAUCCAAUACAACAAACCAUGCAGCAUAUUCUCAAUGGUAUAGAAGUACAGCGUCUUGGUUAAAUACAAAGAUUCUCUUUUAUAUUCUCCUCUACAUUUAGAUUGACACUGGUGCUUGUGUGCAUCUAAGAUCUUUUAUGAGCUUUGAUGAGAGGCAUAACCAUGUGGCUUUAGAAGUAUAACACACAAACUUUUGAUAAUGCUAUCCAUAAAUCUUACAUACUGUACUGUUUUCUAAAAGUUAUUAUUAAAACUGUGUUGAUGGUCCCUUUCCCACAGAAAAUAAUCCAACUCGUAACUUUGAUUUGGACGACUGGGUUCUGUCAUAACACCCACACUAUGAUGAAAGUUCCUAGAUAUGGAAUUUCUUGUUAACAAACUAUAGUUUUGGCAAGUCGGUUAGGACAUCUACUUUGUGCAUGACACAAGUCAUUUUUCUAACAAUUCUUUACAGACAGAGAAUAAUUCACUGUAUCACAAUUCCAGUGGGUCAGAAGUUUACAUACUCUA